CCCUAUGGGGUGCAGCAGGCGCGAAACCUUUACAAUGCACGCAAGUGUGAUAAGGGAACCCAAAGUGCUUUGCUUUUAGUAAGGCUUUUGUCAAGAGUAAAUAUCUCGAUGAAUAAGUGGUGGGAAAGACUGGUGCCAGCAGCCGCGGUAACACCAGCGCCACGAGUGGCAACCAUAAUUAUUGGGCCUAAAGCGUCCGUAGCCGGUCUGAUAGGUCUUUUGUGAAAUCGUAGUGCUUAACAUUACGCCGUGCAGAAGAUACCGUCAGACUUGGAACCGGGAGGAGUCAGAGGUAUUUUGGAGGGAGCGGUAAAAUGCUAUAAUCUCCAGAGGACCACCUGUGGCGAAGGCGUCUGACUAGAACGGCUUCGACGGUGAGGGACGAAAGCCAGGGGAGCAAAAGGGAUUAGAUACCCCUGUAGUCCUGGCUGUAAACGCUGUGAGCUAGGUGUUGCGUUUUCUUCGUGAAUACGCGAUGUCGAAAUGAAGAUGUUAAGCUCACCGCCUGGGAAGUAUGGUCGCAAGACUGAAACUUAAAGGAAUUGGCGGGGGAGCACCACAAGGGGUGCGGCGUGCGGUUUAAUCUAAUUCAACGCAGAGAAUCUCACCAGAAGCGACGGCAGGAUGAAAGUCAGAAUAAAGGUCUUACCUGACGAGCCCAGAGGUAGUGCAUGGCCAA
rnacentral:rRNA from 1 species